GACGAACGCUGGCGGCGUGCUUAACACAUGCAAGUCGAACGAAGUGGCGAAAGGGUUAGUAACGCGUAAUCAAGCUGCCCUUCAGAGGCGGACGCCAGUUGGAAACGACUGCUAAUACCGCCUGCUGCAGUAGGUGAUUUCGUCGGAUUAGCUAGUUGCGGGGGUAAAGGCCCACAAAGGCGAUGAUCAGUAGCCGGUGUGAGAGGAUGAACAGGCACAUGGGGACUGAGACACGGUCCAGACUCCUACGGGAGGCAGCAGUGGGGAAUAUUGGACAAUGGGCGAAAGCCUGAUCCAGCCAUGCCGCGUGUGUGAAGAAGGUCUUCGGAUUGUAAAGCACUUUAAGUUGGGAGGCGUUACCAACAGAAUAAGCACCGGCUAACUUCGUGCCAGCAGCCGCGGUAAUAC
rnacentral:rRNA from 1 species